CCUGUCCUCCCCACCGUACAGACCAACCACACACAGCACAGACCCCUCCCUCUUCUCCCAUGCACACAUCAUACACACAGCCAUCAGAUAAACACAGUCCCCUUAGGAAGCCGAUUAAUAAAACUAUUUUAUCUAUAAUUACACUUGACUGAUAAUAAUGUCCUCAGAGCCUGCAUGGUUAGAUUGGCUCAGAUUGUAACAUCCAGAUUACAGCUGAACUCCCUUUGAACUCUGGCCACAUUGCUGGUCUCUCCAGCUCAGAGAUUACAGAUGGCUUUAGGUGGAUUCACCCCACGGAACCAAGAAGCAGCUGAAUUUAGCCAAGGAUGCAAACAAAAGUCCACUAUCUAAGCGGAUGUUUUUGGGCUGAGCAGAAGGCACGUCUGUACAGACAAGCAAGCUGCAAUUACCCUACAAAAACUGUCUUUCCUGCUGGACUGGAGCUUCACAAGACCAGGGACCAUGUCAUCCUGUUUAUCAUUCUAUCCUAGCACCUGGGACUGUGCCUUGUCCAGGAAUAAACCUGCAAGGAAGGUGUUGCAGAUUUUUAUCCCUAUGUUGGAAAUGAGGAUUCGGAAGCUCAGAGAACGUAAGCAACAUGCCCAGUGUCACGGAGCAAGGUCAAAACCAGACUUUGGACCAAGAUCUAUCUGGCCUUGGAAGCAUCUCCCCUUUGGCCUGGUCUUUGCUCUGUAUGUCUUGUUGACCCCAAAGAAUAAAGUCACCUACAUGUUUCAGUUGACUUUUUAAUUUCCUUAUGAAUGUCAUCCCCACUCCCAAGUUCCCACGAUAAUCAGAAAGGGCGGUUUCCUAGGCUAUUUCCUUGGUAGUCAGAUUGGGAGGAGAAUGGCACUAAUACUAAUACUAAUAACCAUAAUUAUGAGUAACAUUGAUUGAACACUAUGUUCCAAGUGCUCAAUAUGUUCUGG
rnacentral:lncRNA from 10 species